UUGUGCCCACAAUAUUUCCUCACCGCACUGUGUCAGACCCAAACCAGAAAUUAAAUAGGUAUAAACACGCCAGGAAACGUGAGCAGACGUCACCCCUUCUAAAACGCAAGGUGGCAAAAACGACUGCUGUGAGCCCAGAGCUACCUACAAUUCUCGAUGAAGACCAUUGCCCAGUUGACAACGAUGAUGCUGACGAUGUCUCUGAUGAAAUGCGUGAGUCAAGGAACUGCCUGUCAUCUUAUUCUUUGGAGGAAAAUGAUGGAAAGUGCCGACAGAUGACUGGACUCAGCUGGACGAUGUUUUUUGAGCCUAUUUACAUUUCUUAACCAGUUUGUGAAGAGGCGAGGCUACAUCUCCCUUCCACCGCGGGACCAGCUGUUUAUUACACUGAUAAAACUACGUCAAAACCCAUCCUUUUUUUUCUUAAGUCACGUUCUGAAAAUGCCUCAAACAACUGUCAGGCAAUUUUUUAUCCGAUGGCUUGACCUAAUGUAUGGGAAAAUUUCCUUUUUAGUUCACUGGCCUGAUAGGGAAUGUUUUUCAAUGAUACCUCCAGAAAUGAAGGCCCAGUUCCCACGACUCACAGCAAUCAUAGAUUGUUUUGAAAUAAGGACAGAGUACCCCAGCAACCUUAAAGCUAGAGCAAAAUCAUACUCUAACUACAAGAAAUGGACAACAGUGAAAUAUUUAAUAGCAUGCAGUCCAUCUGGCAGCAUUACAUUUUUGUCAAAUGGAUGGGGAGGAAGGGCUUCUGAUGUGCACAUUGUUCGACAGUCAGGAUUCCUGUCCUCAGUGUACCAUUCUCCAGGUGAUCAGGUAAAAUUGGAAUUACGUGUAUCUCAACUAACCACAUUCAUAUCAUUUGAUUAGGGUGUCAUCUCUGGUGAGAAAGCAGAACAUAGAUGAUACAAUGCAAUAUUAUGGUGGAUUUUAUUUAUCUCUAGAUAUUGGCAGAGAGGGGGUUUACACUCCAGGAUGACUUUGCCCUCCUCGGUGUCGAGCUGCUAACACCAUCGUUCACGAAAGGGAGGAAGCAGUUACCUGGGAGAGAGGUGGAAAUGUCUCGUAGGAAGUCAAACAUCCGGAUUCAUAUUGAGCGGGUGAUUGGUGUGCUGAAAGGUCGCUUUCACAUCCUUGACGGUCCACUCCCUCGCUGUCUGGUUCAGUCUGCACGGGACAAAAACCAAGGGCAAGCAACAGUUGACAAACUUGUAAAUGUUUGUGCAGCACUUGUAAACAUGGCACAAAGUAUUAUUAAAUAAAUGCUAAAACAUGU